rnacentral:rRNA from 1 species
AUGUAUUAGGUUUAUCCAACUCGUUGAUUGAUAGUGUGUGGCUAAUUUUUUGCUACUAGGCCCGGCCUAAUAACUACAACAAACCCAAAGUUUGACCUCAAAUCAGGUAGGAUUACCCGCUGAACUUAAGCAUAUCAAUAAGCGGAGGAAAAGAAACCAACAGGGAUUGCCUUAGUAACGGCGAGUGAAGCGGCAAGAGCUCAAAUUUGAAAUCUGGCACUUUCAGUGUCCGAGUUGUAAUUUGAAGAAGGUAUCUUUGGAGUUGGCCCCUGUCUAUGUUCCUUGGAACAGGACGUCACAGAGGGUGAGAAUCCCGUGCGAUGGGGAGACCAAUUCUAUGUAAAGUUCCUUCGAAGAGUCGAGUUGUUUGGGAAUGCAGCUCUAAGUGGGUGGUAAAUUCCAUCUAAAGCUAAAUAUUGGCGAGAGACCGAUAGCGAACAAGUACAGUGAUGGAAAGAUGAAAAGAACUUUGAAAAGAGAGUGAAAAAGUACGUGAAAUUGUUGAAAGGGAAGGGCUUUUGAUCAGACUUGGUGUUUAGUACUCUCUACUCCUUGUGGGUGGGGCUCUUGCUUUAUACUGGGCCAGCAUCGGUUUGGAUGGCAGGAUAAUGGCUGUUGAACGUGGCUUCACUUGUGGAGUGUUAUAGCUUCAGCUGAUACUGCCUAUCUAGACCGAG